rnacentral:tRNA from 1 species
GCCGGGAUAGCUCAGGGGCAGAGCGGUAGACUGAAAAUCUACGCGUCCCAGGUUCGAGUCCUGGUCCCGGCA